GGAAGUGCAGAGCUGCGAUAUGCAGGAAGACGGGGAGCAGGACCAUCGGCGGCACGAGGCUGACGUUAAUCUUCACGGCCCCGGCAAACCAAGGGACACGGCACCGGUCCGCAACGGUGUCGGCGAUCCUCUCCAGCGCUCCUGGGGGCAGGGAUCUGCAGAUUCUGCAAUUAACUGAGGAAGAACGAAAGCUAAGAUUGCGAAUUCAACUUACUUCAAAGAGCUCUCUUCCUGAAGCUGGACGUGAUAGAGGGACUGAGCCGCAUGCUCUAUCUUUGACAGCUUGAGAAACAGUGUUACAUUUAGCAAAACCAAGAGCAGCAAACUGUAGAGACCAGAAACAUGAAGUCAGACGAAGUUUAUAUUAUUACUGUUACAGUGCUACAGAAGGAAGAGCUGGGCUACAGACAUCUAGGAAAAGAAAUUCAUUCUGGAGCAAAAAUAACUGCCCCAGUGCUAUAAUGAAAGUAAAGACUUAUCUAAGCAAUUCUUAGCAAUUAGCUUUAAGUUGUGUAAUGCAACCUGUAGGAAGCGACAACAGUGCCUCCUCUUGGACCUUUUAGAAGUAGGAAUAAAUAAAUUCUAAGAUUUUUUUUUUGUAGAAUCAGACAUACAGAGACCUGAAAAGUAGGCCAGUUUGACAAGUCAGCAUUUUAAUUCUGCAUGUCCUUUCUGAAAUCAGUCCACCCCCCUCUUCUACCCACAAGCUCCUGUAUUUACACUCCAUAUAGGUUAGGAUCAGUCAUGCUACAUGGAACGUCAGCAUGCAAGUGAGGUAGGUACAGGCAAAUAAAGACCAAGAUAAGCUCAAGUUAAGCCAUGUUUUAAUGCAACUAAGUACUUACAAGACACUCAUUACUACAAUGAUGGCAGUGGUCCUACUAAUAGCAUCUCUUUUCCUUCCUAUAGGGCAUGGAAGAGAAGGUGGUUAAAAAGUACUGAAGAACAUUUCUAAUGCAUGUCUGCAUAUACACAUCAGUGCUCAGCAUUUUAUACAGAAUAGCGUGACAGUUUCUGAUGGACAUAACAGAUGGCUUGGGUGCACACGAGUCUCUCCAGAAUUCACUUGAUGCACCCAGUCACUUCUGUAGCCAUCUCAGACAAGGCAGCUAGACAGGCUCUUUUAUUAGGAAGAUUCCCUCACUUCAGUAUCCUGCAGAGAACAGCUCUAGGAUAGGUUAACAUCAAACCCAGAUAGCCUGAGAAUGCUACAGUCUACCCACUGCUGCCAUUCAGCACAUACACCCCUAGUCACACACAUUAGCAGAGACGGUCUGCAACAUGGCUCUCCUCUAAUUGUUCUCCUGACCAUAUUAGUCUUUCUGCCAAGUAAUGCUAAAUCAAAUUCUCCUGUAACUUGUCUAAUCUGGGCCAGCUACAUUUACGUACUGACCUGAUGACAGAUCUUGAGAAGGCUAGUUAUCAGACAAUGGUUACCUAAAGCUAAUGAGGACAGCAGGUGUGCAUGUCCUCUCCAAGCUGAGUAGCAUGCACCUACUUAUGUGAGCAGGUUGAUUUUUAAAUUUAAUUAUCUGAUCUCCUAAGCAGUUCCUUACAUGCACAUUUCCUGUCCUAAAUGAGGGACAUAUCAGAGCUGCUGCAGCAUACACUGAGACACACAACCACCUUAAAAGGUGGAGCAGGAGUGGCAAAAUUAAGUUUUCAGGAAGUAACCUCACCUGAGGAAAGAGGCCACCACAUCUGCUGUUGAACCAAAUGCUCUCUUGCUGCUACAUGCAGUAUUGUCUUUCCCCUUUAGGGAAGGGCAUUUGCUCCUGCUUCAGUGUUUACAAUUCAACUUGUGUUAUGAAAUCCACCAUUCUCUGGUAAACAUUUGUGAACCAGAUGUUCCUCAUCUCUUUAAGUGUAGCUAAUAUUGUACAUGCCUGUACAAUACACAGGCUAAGUCUGUCACGCUUAGUAGCAAAAGUAAUCCAAGAUAUGCUUCAGUGACCCAGAAGUUACAGGAAGAGACAGGAAACGGACUCUUUAAUAUUACCAAAAAAUGUAACUAUGACAUGAUAGGAUCAAGAGGUGAGCAGUAUUUAAAGUUUGAUCAUCUAGUGACUUGGGUGUGCAACUUGAAGAAGUUAAGCAUAGCUAUUUUUCAGCAACUUAGCAAAAUUCAGAUUUCUCAUUCCAUCUCAUUUUCAAUACUAUACAGUGCAACAUUUUAGAAUUUAAUUCCAUUUUCAUAAAACAGAAGGUAGGAUUAAGUUUGAUUUCAUGACAUAUAACAACAUAAUAGUUGACUGUGUGUGUUCUUCGACUGUUUUAAACAAGGCUGAACAGUCUACACAUCUUCGGUCACGCCAGUGAGAUAAAGAUGAGAGCAGCAUACACACAAGCACUAAUCUUGCAUUAUUAUAAAAGUUAAACUUUCUCAAACACACCUUACAGAAAAUAAUGAAUAUAAGAAUUCUUACCUAUGAUGCUACCCUGGGACUCUAACCCCAUGUCACCAGAGGAGUGCUGGGAAGAGCGUUUGGGAAGUGAUUCUGCCAGACUUCGGUGUAAAGUGCGUCGUCUUCGUCUUAGGGCAACUAAUUUUCCAGAGUCUUCUAUGGACUGAUUAAUUGCAUAUUCCUCCAUUAGCAGUUCUGAUUCUAUAGUGGAAAAACAAUGUUCCUGAACGUUGAAAAGGAAAGUUGAAAAGCCUAGCACUAGUGACUUAAAUUGCAAGUGACAUAUCUGUGGUGGUAAUGAGAAGAAAAAGUGCAUCUUCCAGCAGAUGAACUUAAAUCAGGUAAUUGACAUAAAUCACAUCCCAACCUACACUGUCUGUCCUCUGUUAUAUGGCACUUGUACACUUUUCAGAUAUGAUCUAUAUUCAGACUACGCAGGAUUGUUUAAUAACAUGUUAAGCAGCAGUUGAAAGAACACUUCAAGACACUGUUAGACUGAGACUAAGAAUUGUGUUAGACUGCGAGCCAGCAGCCAGAGCUGGCCAGGCUGUUAACAGACAUAGCCAAAGAGCCUGCCAAGUGCCACUACUCUUCUCAUACCCACAAGGAAAUACUUGUGUUAAAUACAGGGGCACGCAGUUGAGAGUAACAGCUUUUCUCCCACUCCUCUUGCGUCCUCCAGAAAGCAACUGCUGACAAGGUAUACAGGAGUUCUUGGCUACCAGGACUAUUUAUUUAUUUAUACAUACUCCAGAAUUGACAGGUAUAUUAAUGACAGGAGAUUCUUCUGAGAGCUGCCUUCUUUUCAACCCAUUAUUUAAGGAAUCAAGUUUGACAUACAUGAAAACACACAAAGGAAAAAAGGUAGCCCCUUCAGUAAAAAGAAGAAAAUGCCUCACCAAGUUGUUUGAAGUUCUCCUGUAUCCCUCCCCAGGUGUUCUUCUCAAUUACAGAUUUGACAAGGCCCCAAGGCUGCUUUUUGUAUUUUACUUCUGCAGAAACCCUAAUAAACAGAAUGCAACAGUGAAGAAAGGAAGGAAAAGAAGGAAAGAAAGACAUGCUUUGUUAGAUAGCACAGUGAUGGUAGAAAUCUCUCAUCAGAGGCAAGCCUCUAGCUUACAUCCAUGGCCUGAAAUACACCUGAAAUACCAACUGGAACUGCCUCAACUUUCCACCUGAGCAGUUCUUACACUGAAACGAGGCAAGAAACAGAUGCACGCAAAGACAACAUAUCCAGUUAAAGCCUCAGGAGAUCUGAAUGUCCAAAUCAUUGGGAAAGAAAUUUUGUUUCCUCUUCAGGCUCUGAGGAACAGGGAAUUUCUCUUUUGUGAACUGUUCUGAUUUUAACAAGCAUUUGAAAUAGCCUUAUGAAGUCCUGCUUUUUACUCUGUAUGCACACUCGUGAUAUAAUACCUGGGGCACAGCAAUGCAAGCACGUGAAACUCAUCACUACCAACUAUGCAUCCAGUACUAAGAACAUACCUUGAGUAGAUAAAUUAAAUUGUCUCUUAGGGAGCACAACAGAGGGGAAAUGACAUUCCUGUGUUGCGUUUCCCAGGUUAUGCUAGUCAAUAAUGCUUCUAGAAUGGAAAGGCAUUCAACUAGAACCCUGCAGGGGGCUGCUUCUAACAGCUGAAUGAAUCCUAGAGCUCUUCGUAAAGAUAAAGGGGCAAAAUGGUAGUCCACAAUAUUUAUUUAUUAAAAUAAAGAACACUAACCUUACUGGAAUACA